AUCAACUUUCGAUGGUAGGAUAGAAGCCUACCAUGGUGGUAACGGGUAACGGGGUGUUAGGGCACGACACCGGAGAGGGAGCCUGAGAAACGGCUACCACAUCCAAGGAUGGCAGCAGGCGCGCAAAUUACCCAAUCCCGACACGGGGAGGUAGUGACAAUAAAUAACAAUACGGGGUUCUUUCGGAUUUCGUAAUUGGAAUGAGUACAAUUUAAAUCUCUUAACGAGGAACAAUUGGAGGGCAAGUCUGGUGCCAGCAGCCGCGGUAAUUCCAGCUCCAAUAGCGUAUAUUAAAGUUGUUGCAGUUAAAAAGCUCGUAGUUGAAUUUCGGGGUCAGUAGAUUGGUCGUGCCACUGGUAUGUACUGGUCUUACUGGCUCCUCCUUCCUGAUGAACCGUAAUGCCAUUAAUUUGGUGUUGCGGGGAGACUGGACUGUUACUUUGAAAAAAUUAGAGUGUUUAAAGCAGGCUAACGCUUGAAUACAUUAGCAUGGAAUAAUGAAAUAGGACGUUCGAUCUUAUUUUGUUGGUUUCUAAGAUUGACGUAAUGAUUAAUAGGGAUAGUUGGGGGCAUUAGUAUUCAAUUGUCAGAGGUGAAAUUCUUGGAUUUAUUGAAGACUAACUACUGCGAAAGCAUUUGCCAAGGAUGUUUUCAUUAAUCAAGAACGAAAGUUAGGGGAUCGAAGACGAUCAGAUACCGUCGUAGUCUUAACCAUAAACUAUGCCGACUAGGGAUCGGAUGAUGUUAAUUUUUUAAUGACUCAUUCGGCGCCUUACGGGAAACCAAAGUGUUUGGGUUC
rnacentral:rRNA from 1 species